rnacentral:tRNA from 1 species
GCCGAGGUGGCGAAACUGGUAGACGCGCCAGACUCAAAAUCUGGUUCCAGCAAUGGAGUGUGGGUUCAAGUCCCUCCCUCGGUACCA